rnacentral:rRNA from 1 species
UACGUAGGCAGCGAGCGUUGUUCGGAGUUACUGGGCGUAAAGAGUGCGUAGCCGGUUUUCUAAGUUUGGUGUGAAAUCUCCCGGCUCAACUGGGAGGGUGCGCCGAAGACUGGAAGGCUUGAGUAUGGGAGAGGUAAGCGGAAUUCCUGGUGUAGCGGUGAAAUGCGUAGAUAUCAGGAGGAACACCUGCGGUGUAGACGGCUUACUGGACCAUAACUGACGCUGAGGCACGAAAGCGUGGGUAGCAAACAGG